UGCUUCCUGCAGGAAAGAUGGCAGCUUUGACCUUUUAGAAGCAAGUCAUGAUCUGACCGGAAGAUGAAAACAGAGCGAGCCAAACUGCAGCAGUAACACCAACUCAUUUUGCAUGAGCACAGUUCAAAGAGGGACUAUGGCUCAUGGACUGCAGGCCUUGGUUCUUAUAUUUACUCCACAGAAAAGAUGGCUUUCAGAGCAGAGGCAUCUAAUAGACUCACUUUUCUACAAAUGUAAGAGAUGAAGAAAGCAGCUACAACAAAAAUCUCUUUUGUAUUCUUAAGCAUUAUGAAGAAGAUUUAGAAAGAAUCUUCAUUCCUCAUGGACUCACCCUGGACAGAAUGAUUUACCUACAGAAAAAAUCUGGUUUGUUGGAGAGGAACUGUCUACACUAAAUGGGAAGAAUGUGUUAGUAGUAGAGGACAUUACUGAGACUGGUAGAACAAUGAAUGCACUGCUUUCAAAAAUAAAAGACAAGAAACCAAGGAUGGUAAAAGUUGUACAGGGAUAUAGCCACUAACUAAUGUAUUCAAAUAAUUUGGGUGACUAGUCAGUGUAUGCUGAUGGGUGCUUGUUAGGCUUGAGGUUUGGGAGGGAGGACGCAAAUGCCGGAAGCAAUCCUUAUCCAGCUGCUGAAAAAUUGUUUAUUAAAUUGGGAAAUUUACCCACACACUACCACCUUCAUUGUUCAAAUUAAUAAAAAAAGGUUUUAUGGCUCUUUCUGUGUAGUCCAUAAAAUUGGAUAGAUUCCCUGUUUCUUACUUGUUUAUGUUUGAAGGAAAUUCAUCUCUUUCCAUAGGUUUUCUAACACCACCUCAGUUGCCUCAAUACUAGAAUGACAACACUCAGAAUAUUUCUUAAUAUCCUCAACUGCAGAAGCUUCCAGAAUCUAAGAGUCUGUCAGUACUUGGAAGGUGACUUCAAGUAGUAUUCUAGAUCUGCUUUUAGCAGAUCUCUAAAAGAAAAUUUUGUGGCAUAUCCCUGUGUCUGUCAAGUAAUCACAAUGCUUUAUAAAACAGUUGCUUUAUGCACCAGUUAUUCAGACAGUCCUUCUAGUGACUGUCCAGGUUCUCAGUUUCUUCUGAAAUGCACAGGAAAACCAAGAAUAGACAUGAUUUUGUAGAAGAAAUUGUCCUUUUCUCCACCCCUCCCCACUAAAAUCAUUACCGGCCACUUGAAUGUGGUUCCCCUUCUGUGCUACUCUAGUGUCCUGAGGCAUUGCUACGUGGAAGGGCAGUGAUCUGAGACACAGGACUGAAGGGAACUGAAUAGGAAACAGAGCCACUUGGACAUUCAGAAUCAACCUAGAUCAGAGCCUUUGCUUCUCCCUCCCUUACAAGGCUGAACACUACUUCUUUCUGUGCAAUAAUCUCACUGUUUUAAUUUAAGUGCGUGAUUUUAGAAGUUUAAUGGGAAGGCAUGGCAGAAGGGAAGUCUACAGCUUAGAGCAAGACAUAUUUUAAAAACCAACCUUCUCUGCUCUGCCUUACAGCCUGCUCGUUAAAAGGACAUGUCAGAGUCCAGGUUACAGACCAGACUGUAAGUAUUGUGUUUUUCUAGUACUGUUUUUUUCUGUAUUUUCCAAAAUACAGUCUUAUGAUUUCACUUCACGCAGCACAUCUGACAACCCGCACAUAAGUUUCAUGAAGGCCAAGAGAAAUGGGGGGAAAAAUACAUAAACACUUGUGAACUAAUGACCAGCUACGCAUGCCAUCCUGAGAUCUCAUGACCACCUUCGUUUUUCCCCUCGUUAGCCUGAGUGCAGGCUUAGCUUUGAUAUACAAAUUAAACUAUUUAGAUAGCAGAAACAGAACCAAACCUUAACUGUGUAUUAUUUUGCUUUGACCUGAGAGGGCAUUUGUUUUGACUCUGCAUUAUUAAACUUGCCUUGUUUCCAAACUGAAAAGUCCUACUGAGUCACCCUGCAUCUACUUUUACUCAAGUAAAAUCUCACUCCUUGUCUCGUCUCCCCGGACUACCUCAUAACUAGGUUUUAAACAAUUAUUUUGUUCAUAAAAAUCAUUCUCUUAACACCUUAAUUGUAUUAUUGACUGAUGGGAAUGGUUUAGAUUCUAACCUCUGUCAUCAAUUUACAGCUCAGAUUCUUAAGGAAGCACCCUGAAAGAGAGAGGAUGCCUAUUACUCUUAGCUCAAGCAUGUGUUGAAUACAAACUGUGCACUUAAAAGCUACUUACACCACUGAAGUAUAAAAAGAACUGCAUUUUCUUACAGAUACAGGCUUUGAAAUUGCAGAUAAAUUUGUGGUUGGAUAUGCUCUUGACUAUAAUGAAUACUUCAGAGACCUAAAUGUAAGUACAUGCACGUUCCUCCACUACCAGGUAUCAGGUACCUACCUACUGCAGGUACUCAGCAAGAACAUUUGCUUCUACUCAGAGCUUCUCAACAAUUAAAAACCCUUCCAUUCCAACUAGAAACUUCCAUUAAAAGAACAAAACCAUUUUUAAGGUGCCGAGCUGGUAAGGCAAUGUAGGUGUAUAAGAAAUGUUUGUGCCUUAGUUUUUAUAGAUCUACUUCACAAGCCUCAUGGCUCAGCCAUGCUGCAGGACAUCCUGAACCCCCAGGAUGGUGAGCAGCAUACAAUCUGCGGCCCCAUCUGAAAAUAAAAUAUUUUGUAGUUUGACUUAAAUUGGAUGUUUGUCUGUCUUAGUUCAAUCCUAUGCUGCUCUUUUAUCACCAAGUCUUUAAAGCAGUCGUGCAUGGACUCUGUGUGAAGGUUUUCCAUACACCGGAUAACAUGGUCCGUAAGAUCUCUCUUCCCUUAUUCCAUUACAGCUUCCUUAGGCUACACAGAGUACUAGACUUGGAAACAUCAUAAACUAAUAUGGCUGAUCUCUUUUUCCCUCCUUUGUUUUCAAAAGUACUUUCUUAAUUCUGGUUAACUCAGAAGUUUUUCACUUGAAAGUCUUUUUAUUGAGACAAACCAGUUCUGUUGAAGAUACAAACAAUCUGUGCUAUUGCUCAGAAGCAUGAAAGAGUAUGCAGUAAUUUAACAGACCUGAGUUCUUUAGAAUAUAUAAACCUAUAUAUUACAGAUAAACUUGGAAAGAAUAUUAAAAUCUCGAUUUUACUGCAAGUAUGGAACUUGAAACAA